rnacentral:rRNA from 1 species
GAUGAACGCUGGCGGCGUGCUUAACACAUGCAAGUCGAACGAAGCACUUAUCUUUGAUUCUUCGGAUGAAGAGGUUUGUGACUGAGUGGCGGACGGGUGAGUAACGCGUGGGUAACCUGCCUCAUACAGGGGGAUAACAGUUAGAAAUGACUGCUAAUACCGCAUAAGACCACGGAGCCGCAUGGCUCAGUGGGAAAAACUCCGGUGGUAUGAGAUGGACCCGCGUCUGAUUAGGUAGUUGGUGGGGUAACGGCCUACCAAGCCAACGAUCAGUAGCCGACCUGAGAGGGUGACCGGCCACAUUGGGACUGAGACACGGCCCAAACUCCUACGGGAAGCAGCAGUGGGGAAUAUUGCACAAUGGGGGAAACCCUGAUGCAGCGACGCCGCGUGAGCGAAGAAGUAUUUCGGUAUGUAAAGCUCUAUCAGCAGGGAAGAAAAUGACGGUACCUGACUAAGAAGCACCGGCUAAAUACGUG